rnacentral:rRNA from 1 species
UACGUAGGGGGCGAGCGUUGUCCGGAUUUACUGGGCGUAAAGGGUGAGUAGGCGGUUAUAUAUGUCAGGUGUAAAAAGCUAUGGCUUAACCAUAGUAAGCACUUGAAACUGUAUGACUUGAGUGCAGGAGAGGUAAGCGGAAUUCCUAGUGUAGCGGUGAAAUGCGUAGAUAUUAGGAGGAACACCGGUGGCGAAGGCGGCUUACUGGACUGUAACUGACGCUGAGUCACGAAAGCGUGGGUAGCAAACAGGAUUAGAUACCCCGGUAGUCCCUGA